AUUGAACGCUGGCGGCAUGCUUUACACAUGCAAGUCGAACGGCAGCGCGGGCUUCGGCCUGGCGGCGAGUGGCGAACGGGUGAGUAAUGCAUCGGAACGUGCCCAGUAGUGGGGGAUAGCCCGGCGAAAGCCGGAUUAAUACCGCAUACGACCUGAGGGUGAAAGCGGGGGACCGAAAGGCCUCGCGCGAUUGGAGCGGCCGAUGUCGGAUUAGCUAGUUGGUGGGGUAAAGGCUUACCAAGGCGACGAUCCGUAGCUGGUCUGAGAGAACGACCAGCCACACUGGGACUGAGCCACGGCCCAGACUCCUACGGGAGGCAGCAGUGGGGAAUUUUGGACAAUGGGGGCAACCCUGAUCCAGCCAUGCCGCGUGCGGGAAGAAGGCCUUCGGGUUGUAAACCGCUUUUGUUCGGGAAGAAAUCCUCUGGGCUAAUACCCCGGGGGGAUGACGGUACCGGAAGAAUAAGCACCGGCUAACUACGUG
rnacentral:rRNA from 1 species